UUUUACUGACAAUUCCUGCUUGCUUUCUUCCCCUGAGGAAUGUGUGGUCCCAGACUCAACUCCCAGCUCUGAGCCAAGUGCAGCAGAUCCCUUUGAAGUCCUCCUGAAGCAGGAUUCUUAAUGCCCAAGGGAAAAGCUUCUCCUUUCUCCAUCUGCAAGAGCACAGUUCCCUUCCAGUGAAACCCAAUGAUCACCUCAGACCUGUCCAUCUGGCCUGUACUUUGGGCACAUACUCAGAUCUGAAGUAGACUUCAAGUAUUUGGAAGUCACAGUCAAACACAACUCUAAGUACUUUGCUGUACAAAGACAGCUUAGGCAUAUACAGCAAGCAAACUUUAGCAAAGCCUGGGGUGACUCCAUGCUACUGCAUUAAAAAUAGGAACACUUCUGGUUCAAACAUGUCUUUGGUUGUUCCUAAGCCAGGGAAAGAACAGUAUUAUCUAUCAUUCAUAGAGCUCUUAACCUUUUGGAACAGCACAUGUUGUGCACUAUGUAUAUUUAUCCAUUAAAAAAGCCUGUAGGUUCGUUUUUCCUCUCUGACAUGAAAAAUGUGGAUGGAAGCACUAAAGGCUUAGAGUGUCUCUGUGAUUUGCUUGCUAAAGUAAACACGAGCCAAUACUGUAACCAGAUCACAUACUUGUGGUGGAAUAAAGUGACUAAUUUCA